ACUUCGGUGGGGAUUAGUGGCGAACGGGUGAGUAACACGUGGGCAAUCUGCCCUGCACUCUGGGACAAGCCCUGGAAACGGGGUCUAAUACCGGAUACUGAUCCGCUUGGGCAUCCAAGUGGUUCGAAAGCUCCGGCGGUGCAGGAUGAGCCCGCGGCCUAUCAGCUUGUUGGUGAGGUAAUGGCUCACCAAGGCGACGACGGGUAGCCGGCCUGAGAGGGCGACCGGCCACACUGGGACUGAGACACGGCCCAGACUCCUACGGGAGGCAGCAGUGGGGAAUAUUGCACAAUGGGCGAAAGCCUGAUGCAGCGACGCCGCGUGAGGGAUGACGGCCUUCGGGUUGUAAACCUCUUUCAGCAGGGAAGAAGCGAAAGUGACGGUACCUGCAGAAGAAGCGCCGGCUAACUACGUGCCAGCAGCCGCGGUAAUACGUAGGGCGCAAGCGUUGUCCGGAAUUAUUGGGCGUAAAGAGCUCGUAGGCGGCUUGUCACGUCGGUUGUGAAAGCCCGGGGCUUAACCCCGGGUCUGCAGUCGAUACGGGCAGGCUAGAGUUCGGUAGGGGAGAUCGGAAUUCCUGGUGUAGCGGUGAAAUGCGCAGAUAUCAGGAGGAACACCGGUGGCGAAGGCGGAUCUCUGGGCCGAUACUGACGCUGAGGAGCGAAAGCGUGGGGAGCGAACAGGAUUAGAUACCCUGGUAGUCCACGCCGUAAACGGUGGGCACUAGGUGUGGGCAACAUUCCACGUUGUCCGUG
rnacentral:rRNA from 1 species